UACGUAGGGGGCUAGCGUUGUCCGGAAUCAUUGGGCGUAAAGAGCGUGUAGGCGGCCCGGUAAGUCCGCUGUGAAAGUCGGGGGCUCAACCCUCGAAUGCCGGUGGAUACUGUCGGGCUAGAGUGCGGAAGAGGCGAGUGGAAUUCCUGGUGUAGCGGUGAAAUGCAUAGAUAUCAUCAAGAAUACCGAUUGCGAAGGCAGUUUACUAAGCUUUAACUGACACUGAGGCACGAAAGUGUGGGGAUCAAACAGG
rnacentral:rRNA from 1 species